GGACCGGAUGGAAAUGGAGGAGGGAAGGGGUGGGGGCCGCGGGUUGGGCUUGAGUGAGGAAGGGGAUAAGAUGGAGGCGGGCCUGGACGUGGCCGGGGAUUGGCUAUGGGUGUGGACUCGGGGAACUCAUUGGCUGUGGAGUCGGCCGGGAUCACGUGCUGGUUCAGGCAAGCAUAGAAUGACCUGGUACUGUGUCCGAACUUGGUGGGUUCUUGGUCUCACCGACUUCAAGAAUGAAGCUGCAGACCCUCACGUUUACCUGCCAGUUUGGGUGCUGGGUACAAGUCUAAGAUGCCUGCAGCCCUCUUGGACCACCAUAUGGAAUCUACAAGUUCAAGAUGAUCAGAUGAUCUAGUACAAUAGAAUGAGAGAGAACGAUCCUGAGCCCUGACAUCAUGGAGCCACCACUCCAGCUCUGGACCAACUAUCUAUAUUUGUGGUUAAAGAAAUCAACUUCAAUUUUGCUUAACUCUUUUACAUUUGUUUCCUGAAGUGUAGUCACAGUUUGCCUGUAAUUGUUUACUGACUACUAUUCUAGUUUGAUUCCCAAAGGCAUUCCGCUUUACUUUUACAUGAGUCUUCCAGGUGACAAUAGAGGAGUGAGGGAGGAAAACAAGUUGGAUGACAGUAGCAAUGCCUCAUUAUCUGAAAAUGCUGCUGAAGAGGUAUCUGUGACUUCUAGGUACUAAGAGUCAAGGAGGCAGGACUACAUUUUCCUUUAUCUUAGAACACUACAGUGGUACUAAGAAGGACCUGCUCUAGGAAACAAGACAACUAAGUGUGGGUUUGUAAGUUCCUAAAGACUUUUCCACCUUAUAAUCCUGCUCUAAAGAAUUAUGUUCAGUUUUCAGUCUCAUGUAACUAUUUUAAAUGCAAUAUUUAUGUGUGUGUAUCAGAAUAUUAAACUAAUGUUUCCUAGCCAGAUAAUAAUAGCUAUACAGACAUUAGUUCAACUAUUUCAAAAAGAUAAUAGAAAUUGUACACUUAAUCCAUGGAAAGGCUGAUCAGGGUAAAUAUGCAUCUUAUUUAUCUGUUGUCUGUCUAUCCACAUACACAUUUGGCUGGAUUGAUAGCAACUUAACUGUUAGAAUUUGUGAUUUGAAUCAGUCAGGUAAUCUUUACAGUCUUUGAAAAAUUUUUAAAAGGGGAAAAUGAAUUUUGACUUUACAAAUCAGUUUGGCAGCAGAAUAUACAUUCCUCUCAUCUGUACAUGGCACAUACUCUACGGUUGACCACAUGCUCAACCAUAACGCAAUUCUCAACAAACUGAAAAAAAACUGAAAUAAUACCAGCCACACUCUAGGAGUAUAGCACAAUAAAAACAGAAAUCAAUACCCAGAAUAUCUCUCAAUACUAUACAAUUACAUGGAAAUUAAACAGUCUGCUCCUGGGUGACAUUUGGGUAAACAAUGAAAUUAAGGUAGAAAUCAAAAAAGUCUUUCAAACUAGUGAAAAAAAAGAUACAACAUAUCAGAAUCUCUGGAACACAGUUAAAGCAGGUGUAAGAAGAAAGUUAUAGUGCUAAACACCUACAUCAAGAAGUUAGAAAGAUCUCAAACGAACAACCUAACAUUACACCUACAGGAACUAGAAAAACAAGAGCACAUCAACUCCAAAGCUAGCAACAGAAAAGAUAUGACCAAAAUUAAGCUGACUGAAUGAAACUGAGGUGCAAAAUCCAUACAAAGAUCAAUGAAACCAAAAGUUGUUUCUUUGGAAGAAUAAAUAAGAUUGGAAGACUAUUAGAUAAAUAAGGAAAAAGAAGAUCCAAAUAAACACGAUCAGAAACGACAAAUGUGACACUACCAUUGACCUUACAGAAAAAAAAAAAAAAA
rnacentral:lncRNA from 1 species